GCUCUAGUAGUCCAAUUGGCAGAGACAGCAGAUUUAGAGUCUGUGUGUUGCGAGUUCAAAUCUCGCCUAGAGUA
rnacentral:tRNA from 1 species